rnacentral:rRNA from 1 species
AUUGAACGCUGGCGGCAUGCCUUACACAUGCAAGUCGAACGGCAGCACGGGAGCAAUCCUGGUGGCGAGUGGCGAACGGGUGAGUAAUGUAUCGGAACGUACCUUUCAGUGGGGGAUAACGUAGCGAAAGUUACGCUAAUACCGCAUAUUCUGUGAGCAGGAAAGCAGGGGAUCGCAAGACCUUGCGCUGAUUGAGCGGCCGAUAUCAGAUUAGCUAGUUGGUGAGGUAAAGGCUCACCAAGGCGACGAUCUGUAGCGGGUCUGAGAGGAUGAUCCGCCACACUGGAACUGAGACACGGUCCAGACUCCUACGGGAGGCAGCAGUGGGGAAUUUUGGACAAUGGGCGCAAGCCUGAUCCAGCCAUGCCGCGUGAGUGAAGAAGGCCUCGGUUGUAAGUACGUCGUUCUAGUCGAGAAGAAAAGGACGUAG